GCAAGUCGAACGGGCCCUUCGGGGCUAGUGGCGGACGGGUGAGUAACGCGUGGGAACGUGCUCUUUGGUUCGGAAUAGCCCCGGGAAACUGGGAGUAAUACCGGAUAAGCCCUUCGGGGGAAAGAUUUAUCGCCAAAGGAUCGGCCCGCGUUGGAUUAGGUAGUUGGUGGGGUAACGGCCUACCAAGCCGACGAUCCGUAGCUGGUUUGAGAGGAUGAUCAGCCACACUGGGACUGAGACACGGCCCAGACUCCUACGGGAGGCAGCAGUGGGGAAUCUUAGACAAUGGGGGAAACCCUGAUCUAGCCAUGCCGCGUGAUCGAUGAAGGCCUUAGGGUUGUAAAGAUCUUUCAGUGGGGAAGAUAAUGACGGUACCCACAGAAGAAGCCCCGGCUAACUCCGUGCCAGCAGCCGCGGUAAUACGGAGGGGGCUAGCGUUAUUCGGAAUUACUGGGCGUAAAGCGCACGUAGGCGGAUUGGAAAGUCAGAGGUGAAAUCCCAGGGCUCAACCCUGGAACUGCCUUUGAAACUCCCAGUCUUGAGGUCGUGAGAGGUGAGUGGAAUUCCGAGUGUAGAGGUGAAAUUCGUAGAUAUUCGGAGGAACACCAGUGGCGAAGGCGGCUCACUGGCACGAUACUGACGCUGAGGUGCGAAAGCGUGGGGAGCAAAC
rnacentral:rRNA from 1 species